UCAACUACGCUAGUUUUUAACUUUUAUUUGGGUUUCGGUUACUUAUUUUACGGCUCCUGUUUUUCGGGGCAAAAAAUCUAAACGGAAGUGUUGACCUUAAGCUGCACCGACAAAAAACGGAAGAUGCAACCGAUGCCCUGGAGAAUUUAGAGGAUUUUUGUUGGUGACCUGUUUAUAGUCGAAAAAUUAAUGACAGUACAUGCGAUUCCUGAACCUUCUUGCACUCAUGUCAAAUCAGCCGCUGCACUGAGUCCUGAAGACUGGAUGAACGCCGGAAGUGAUUCCAUUUUUGUUCUACAAAUUGGUGACCAAUCCGCUAAGUACCCAUCUUCAAAUGUCCAGCGGCCAUUUAUUCCCUAAAAAGUUCAUGAUGAAUAUUCUGGCAUGAGGAGCGAUCAUGUAGACAUUCUUGCAACGUAAUGAUCCAGGACGCAGAACAUCUGGAUUCAGCUGUCUGCAAGCAGAUGCCUAACCUACUAACACCGAUUGGUUCUGUUGCAUCGAGCCGACGAGUAUCGUUUCGUUUAUAAAUUUUUGCUAUUUACGGAUUUUUUUUAAAAGAAAUUCGCGGUUGGAAAUCAUUUUUCAAAGUA